rnacentral:rRNA from 1 species
AUAUUGCACAAUGGGCGCAAGCCUGAUCCAGCCAUCCCGCGUGUGCGAUGAAGGCCUUCGGGUUGUAAAGCACUUUUGGCAGGGAAGAAACGGCACCGGCUAAUACCGGGUGUCACUGACGGUACCUGCAGAAUAAGCACCGGCUAACUACGUGCCAGCAGCCGCGGUAGUACGUAGGGUGCAAGCGUUAAUCGGAAUUACUGGGCGUAAAGCGUGCGCAGGCGGUUCGGAAAGAAAGAUGUGAAAUCCCAGGGCUUAACCUUGGAACUGCAUUUUUAACUGCCGAGCUAGAGUAGGUCAGAGGGGGGUAGAAUUCCACGUGUAGCAGUGAAAUGCGUAGAGAUGUGGAGGAAUACCGAUGGCGAAGGCAGCCCCCUGGGAUCAUACUGACGCUCAUGCACGAAAGCGUGGGGAGCAAA